ensembl:snRNA U6 U6 spliceosomal RNA
GUGCUCGCUUUGGCAGUAUAUACACCAAAAUUGGAAUAAUUCAGAGAUUAUCAUGGCUUCUGUGAAAGAAUGACACGCAGAUUUGUGAAGCAUUGCAUAAUUUU